GACGAACGCUGGCGGCGUGCCUAAUACAUGCAAGUCGAACGCAGUGGGGACGGGUGAGUAACACGUGGGUAACCUCCCAUCAGAGGGGAUAACACUUGGAAACAGGUGCUAAACCGAUACUGAUGGAUGGACCCGCGGGGCAUUAACUAGUUGGUGGGGUAACGGCUCACCAAGGCCACGAUGCAUAGCCGGCCUGCGAGGGGGCUAGGCCACCCUGGGACGUAGACACGGCCCAGACUCCGACGUGCGGCAGCAGUAGGGAAGUUUCGGCAAUGGACGAAAGUUUGACCGAGCAACGCCGCGUGAGUGAAGAAGGUUUUCGGAUCGUAAAACUCUGUUGUUAGAGAAGCGGUAUCUAACCAGAAAGCCACGGCUAACUACGUGCCAGCAGCCGCGGUAAUAC
rnacentral:rRNA from 1 species